AAUCCUGCCGGCAUGCUUGCUGGCACGCGUGUGGCUUUCUAUGCCCGUACUUUUGCGCGGAGAUGCGUGCGCAGUGCGCCUUUCUCUUGACUGCCUCACGCUUUCAUCCCUUCCGGAGGGCGCUUCGUCACCGCGAAACCACGAAGCCACGGGCACACGCACAAACAGACAUACAUAGCAUGCCACAGCAUCACAAGGGAGAGGCAACAUCACAGCACUCUCCGAGAAGCGGGCCAUGCAUACAUAAGGAAGAGCAGACAACAUAUACACGCUGCGCACGGUCAGCCCCCCUUUCCCCCACCCCCACGCACACGCACACGCACGCAUACAUUUAGCGGAAAGAGGGAGGAAAGACCAGGGGUACCUCUUUUGUGCGACUUCUAAUCUUUCACCUCCUACCGCCCCUUCCAGCCUCGCUCCUCUGCAGAUGUGUAUACACAUCUAUACGUAUCGAUACUUACAUGCAUAUAAGUAGUAUGUCUAUAUCGCUUUCUCCCUCUGUCUUCAUCAACCGAUCUCCCUUGACUUCUUACCUCAUCCUCUCCACACUAUUCUCUCUCUCACACAUCCAG
rnacentral:misc_RNA from 1 species